CCUGCUUGUUUUCUCUCAAGGAAUGUACAUACAUUUUUUUCACCACUCCAGCUUCUAAACCUUAAUGUUGUUCUCAGUUUAUGGAAAGCAAACAAAAGCAGUUUUACAAUGACCAACAUUUUCUUAUUGCAACAUUAAAGGUAAACAGGUCAAAGUACUGUGUUUGGAUGUUAAAGAUUUACAGAAAAUCUUGAAACAAUAUAAAAGCAGGGAAGAACAUCAGAGGUUAGAAGACAGAGCAACACUGAGCGAAGAUGAAUUCCACUAUUUUAUUGACUGUGUUGUUUUUCUGUGGCUUAACUUUGGCCCAGAACAAUGCUGCUGAGACAGAAGUCAUCACUGAAACACAGUCAUGUUUUCCUGACAUGUGUAAGCUCCUACAAGAGUUCGGUGCCAUGAAAGAAAAUCAGAAAGCCAUGGAAACCAGACUGAAGGAGAGCGAAAACCAGAUUCUUGAACUGAAGAGCAAAGGUAGAAGAGCAACCAAGAUAGUAUUUAGUGUUGGAACAAGCGGGAACGGAGCCAUUGGACCCUUCAACACAGAUACAA